CUCUCUCUCUCAGGAGCACUAUAUCAGGAGAACCAAGUUCAUGUCGAGAUAACGAAGAUUUCAUGUCACUCUCCACUUCAAAGUCAUUGCAACAAUUUGGAGCAAACGAAGUGCCCUCAUCCUCCUGCGCAGGGAAAUUGUCCAAAGCAAAAGCAGGAUCCCUCUCAGCCCUUGGAUCAACUUCCUGGGCCCCACGGUAAAGGAAACCCAUCAAAAUUCUUGCUUGAAGGCCAUUUCAUCAACAACCUAGAAAAUACUUCUGCACCGCAUCAGCAUGUUCGCUAUCAAUUUUCUUAACAUCUGAACCUACAGUGGGAAUAACCCACUUAUGUAAGGAUCUUUUAAAUCAAUAUAUGGGCUUAUACGUGUGAAUAAUUGUGUGUUAAAUUAUAGGCUAUCGAAUUCGGUUGAGCCCAAUUAAAGUGAUCUAAUAAGGCUUCAGUUUUGGAUUUUAAUGUAUCCAAUUAAAGUAUGGGUUUACAUAUGUGUAGAGACCGGGCCCAAGUCCUAAUUCUAUGAUGGGCCGAAUUAGGUCAAAGGACGUCCCUAUAUAAACAGGUUAUGGUCCUCAGAUCACACGCACGUAUUAUUCAUUCUCUACUGCAUCCCAUCACAGAGAGGAAAAGGAGACUGCGUGUAGAUUUGGAAGAUUAUACCACGAAAUUCAUAUUGCAUUAACCAUGUCUGAUUCAGGUACGAUUCUGCUUUAAUUCUUGUAUUUCUUGAUGAUUUAACAUGAAAAAUUCGGUAAUUUAAAGUAUUAAAUUAUGCAAUAAGUGGUAUCAGAGCCUCUUCAUGUUAAAUCAUUGAGAAUCGAAUAAUUUAAUUUGGUUCUUGCAAUUUUUAUAAAGUUUUCAGAUUUGAUGAUUUAGGAUUUAUAUUUUGUUGAGUUUGAAAACUUUUGCGGUAUAAUUUUUGUUAUUUUCGAAAUUCGGAUUAAUGGUUAAGAAAAAUUCAGAUUUGGAAUUUCGAAUUUUGGAUUUAUAUUUCUGUACAGUUUAAAAAAAAUUUGGGGCUGUACCGGUAGUAGGCUACAGCAACGCAGCCGGCAGUGCUACGUACAGCAGCGCUGCCGAUGCUGCUUAUGGCGCUGGUGUGCUUCGGGCGGCGCACGCCAAGAGAAAAAAAAUAAAAAAUAAAAUAUUAGGGUUUCAUUUUUUUGUUGAAUUUGGGGACGGGGGCUUCCUCUGUAAAUUAGAUAAGUUGAGGCCCCUGGUUGCAAUUAGGGUUAGGGUUAUAAAAUUAAGGUUUCAGUCCCUAACCUUUAAGUUAUAUUAAGAUUUGGGCCUUUAAGUUUCAGAUUUAAUAAUUCAGUCCCUAAGGUUUAAAAUUAAUUAAUUCGGGCCAUUGAAGUUCUGAAUUCUGUAAUUAAAGCCCUCAAAAUUUAAUUAUUAAUUCAAAUUGGCCCCCUAAGUUCAUAAUUAAUUCAAAUUGACCCCUAAAGUCUCAAAUUUUCAAAAUUUGAUCCCUAAAGUUUUGAAUUGGUCAAUUUUGGCCCCUGAAGUUUUAAAAUUUGUUCUAAUUGAUCCUCUAAAGUAUUGAAUUAAUUAAUUAUGGUCCAUAAAGUUUCAAGUUUAUUUAUUUCGACCCCUAAAGUUUGGAAGUAAUUAAUUUUGCCCCCUUAAAGUUUUGAAUUAUUAAUCCUAAGGCCCCUAGAGUUUAAAACUAAUCAAAAUAUGCAAAAUUGGUGAUUCUCUUUCUCAAAUUUCGGUACUAAAGACUCUUUUAUGAGAUAUAAUAUUCGAAAGUUGGUUAAUUGAAGCAACAUGUUGCCGAAGCAACCUCUCUUGUGAAAAUUGACUAACUUAGAAUGUUAAAAAGUGUUUGUGCAUGUGUUAUUCAUGGGAAUAUUGGUUGGUCCAAAGGAAGGUCAAUAUUUAGUCGAAUACAUGGGCACUUGUGGUGAUAAAUGUGUGAUGAUUAUUUGGUUUAAUGUGUGAUCAAUAAAUCGGUCCAAAGAAAGAUUUAUUGAUUGACACGUUGUUUUAUCGUCAAUGUUUGAUCACUACGCCAAGAGUACCGCUUACAAGUCAAUAUCUCUAUCCAAAGACUAGAUAUUGAUGUUGUGCUUGGUAUCUUGUGAUGGGCACUACCACUAUUUGAGAAUAUUAUUAUUUGCAUAUUAAAGAUAUUCAUGUGAGCUAUUCAUAAUAAAUGUUCUCUAAUUCAGUUUCAGAUUCUGCGGCUAAUAUCUCUGCUAGCAUCAAUUCCAUUCCAAUGUUAAAUGGCACAAACUUCAGGGCAUGGCAAGAGAAUGUUAUGAUUGUUCUCGGAGUCAUGGACCUAGACCUUGCUUUACGGGUCGAUCAACCUGCUGCACUUACUGAUAAGAGUGCCUCUGAUGACAAGAGGGUGAUGAAAAAGUGGGAACGAUCGAAUCGCAUAAGCUUAAUGGUCAUGAAGCGUGCUAUUCCAGAAGCAUUCUGGGGCACUAUGUCCGAUAAGGUGACUACGGCUAAGAGUUUCCUUGAGGACCUUGAGAAGAGGUUUGUCAAGAAUGAAAAGGCUGAAACAAGUACACUUUUGACAAAUGUUAUUUCAAUGAGGUAUAAAGGGAAACGAAACAUUCAAGAGUACAUUAUGGAAAUGUCUCACAUUGCUUCAAAACUAAAGGCACUCAAGUUGAAUUUAUCUGAAGACUUGUUGGUGCACUUGGUUCUGAUAUCCCUUUCGGCACAUUUCAGUCAAUUCAAGGUGAGCUACAACUGUCAAAAGGACUCAUGGUCCCUUAAUGAACUCAUCUCACAAUGUGUCCAGGAAGAAGAAAGAUUGAAGCAUGAGAAGACAGAAAUUGCUCUUUUGGCCACCACCUCUAAGGACAAAAGCAACAAGAAAAGGAAGAUUAAUAAGGAAGCUGCAGGUACGGCAUCGCAAAAGAAAUAGCAUAAGGAACCAACUGAAGGUAGUUGUUUCUUCUGUGGAGAUGUAGGUUAUAAGAAGAAGAAUUGCACCAAUUAUCAUACAUGGCAUGUAAAGAAAAGUACUCUUCUUCAUUUGGUUUGUUCUGAGGUUAAUUUAACUUCGGUACCUAGACAUACAUGGUGGAUAGAUUAUGGUGCAACAACUCACAUCAGUAUGUCUAUGCAGGGUUGCCUGAGUUGUCGAAAAUCAAGUGAUGGUGAAAGAUACAUCUAUGCUGGUGACGGCAAAAGAAUGGAAGUAGAGGCAAUAGGAAAAUUUAAAUUAUUGUUAAAGACUGGAUUUUAUUUGGAUCUUGUUGAGACAUUUAUUGUACCGUUUUUUAGACGGAAUUUGAUUUCUAUUUCUAUUUUUGACAAAUUUGGUUAUACUUAUUCAUUUGGAAAUGGAAAAUUUAGUUUGUUUCAUGAUUCAAAAUUGGUUGGUUCCGGUUCUUUAUCAUGAUACGAUAAUCUUUAUUCAAUUGAUACAAUUGCUUCUUAUAAUGAAACCUUGCAUGUAAGUACUCAAGGUGUAAAGCAAAAAUUAAAUGCGAGAAUUGUGUCUCGUUGUGGCACAAGAGAUUAGGUCACAUCUCCAAAAGGAGAAUUGAGAGACUUGUGUCUGACGGGAUUCUCGACCCUCUUGACUUCAUAGAUUAUGAUUUGUGUGUCAACUGUAUAAGGGAAAAACAAACCAAUAAAAGGAGAUUUCAAGCCAAUAGGACUUCGAACGUCUUAGAACUUAUACAUACGGAUAUUUGUGGACCAUUCCCUACGGGUUCUUGGAAUGGUCAACAAUAUUUUAUAACGUUCAUAGACGAUUUUUCAAGAUAUGGCUACGUAUAUCUCAUUCAUGAAAAAUCACAGUCACUGGAUGUCUUCAAAAACUAUAAAGUUGAAGUUGAGAACCAACUCGGCAAAAUGAUUAAAAGCGUCAGGUCUGACCGUGGGGGGUGAAUACUACGGCAUAUAUGACGGUUCAGGUGAACAGCGUCCAGGACCAUUUGCUAAAUUCCUAGAAGAAUGUGGUAUCGUCCCACAGUACACUAUGCCGAGUUCACCCACUAUGAAUGGUGCUGUUGAGAGACGAAACAGAAUGCUUAAGGACAUGGUGAGGAGUAUGAUUAGUCAUUCUACCUUACCAGAAUCUCUCUGGGGUGAAGCAUUAAAGACUGCAGCUUAUAUACUCAACAGAGUUCCAACUAAGGCCAUUGAUAAAAUGCCAUAUGAGCUUUGGAUGGGCAAAAAGCCUAGUUUGAAGCAUAUACAUAUUUGGGGGUAUCCAGUUGAGGCAAGGCCCUAUAAGCCAAAUGAAAAGAAACUGGACGCAAGGACCAUCAGUUGUUUUUUCAUUGGAUAUUCUAAAAGGUCUAGGGGUUAUAAGUUUUAUGAUCCCACAACUAAGGCAAUUUUCGAGAUAGGAAAUGUUAGGUUCUUUGAGGAUGUUGAGUUUGUGGGGGGGGGGGGGGGGGGUGAAGGGGGGGGNNNNNNNNNNNNNNNNNNNNGUUGUGUUUUGUUUUUUGGUGUGUUUGUGUGUGGGGGGGGGGGGGGGGAAGGGUUACAGGCUUGGUCUUUGAGGAGGAAUAUGUUGAAAUUCCUCCAAUUGCCAUUGACAAUGAUCAGGUUUUUAUCCCUGAUUUUGUUCAAGAAGCAACUCUGGAUCAAGACAAUGUCAUACCUCCCUCUUAAGAUCAACAAAUUGUUCCAGAAGAACAAACUCUACAGCCUCAAUAACCAAUGCCAUUAAGAAGAUCCACUAGAGAGAGGAGAAGUACAGUUUCGAAUGAUUACAUCGUAUUUCUCCAAGAACAUGAAGUUGACAUUGGAUUGGCGGAAGAUGAUCCGAUCAACUUCCGUCAAGCCAUUGAAAGUUCUAACUCUCAAAAGUGGCUCGAUGCUAUGAAUGAAGAGAUAAAGUCCAUGAAGAACAAUGACGUAUGGGACCUCGUUCCAUUGCCUGAAGGUGUGAAACUCAUUGGUUGCAAAUGGAUAUUUAAGACCAAGAGGGAUUCGAAAGGUGAUGUAGAGAGGUAUAAAGCUCGUCUUGUCGCAAAAGGCUUUACACAGAAAGAAGGCAUCGAUUAUAAAGGGACUUUCUCUCCGGUUUCUUCGAAAGACUCUUUCAGGACUAUAAUGGCAUUGGUAGCGCAUUUCGAUCUUGAGCUACAUCAGAUGGAUGUUAAGACAGCAUUUCUAAAUGGUGACAUUGAUGAAAUAAUUUAUAUGGUACAACCAGAAAACUUUGUAUCGGACGAUGCAAAGCAAAUGGUUUGUAAAUUAAAGAAAUCAAUCUAUGGACUCAAACAGGCAUCUCGUCAAUGGUAUUACAAGUUUCAUCAGGUGAUCAUCUCAUUUGGUUUUGAGAUGAAUUUGGUCGAUGAUUGUAUAUACCACAAGUUCAGUGGGAGCAAGUAUAUUUUUCUGAUUUUAUAUAUCGAUGGCAUAUUGCUUGCUAGCAACGAUAUAGGUUUAUUGCACGAAACCAAGAGAUUUCUAGCAAAGAAUUUUGAGAUGAAAGAUCUUGGUGAUGCCUCUUUUGUAUUAGGAAUUCAGAUACACCAAGAUCGUUCUCGGGCUAUUCUUGGAUUAUCACAAAAGAGCUAUAUCGAAAAGGUACUUAAAAGAUAUGUCAUGCAAGAUUGUAAACCAUGUGACACCCCUGUGGCUAAAGGAGACAAGUUCAGCUUAAGUCAGUGCCCUAAAAAUGACUUGGAAAUUAAAAAAAUGCAGAAGACUCUUUAUUCCUCAGCUAUAGAGAGUCUGAUGUAUGUUCAUGGAAUAUGGCUGCAUAAUUUUGUCACAGGGCUGCGCAUUGUGGACAAUAUAGAAAGACCACUUAAGAUAUUUUGUGACAAUAAAUCAGCAAUGCUGUAUUCUAAUAACAACAGGAGCUCGACGAAGUCAAAACAUAUAGAGAUCAAGUUCCUAACUGUUAAAAAAAGAGUUCAGAGUUGACAGGUGUCAAUAGAGCAUGACAAGCUCCAUAGUUGUGGAUCCGCUAACUAAGGGAUUGAUACCCAAAGUCUUUCAUGAGCACACUGCUCAUAUGGGUGUAAUGUCUCUUGAGGAUAUGUAAUUUCAGUGAGAGUUUGUAUUUUUGCUUUUCAUAUUGGACACAUGCACUGUUGUUUUGAAUACGGUUUAAAGUUAAAGUUAUUUUCAGUUAUAAAGUUAUUUGGUUAAUUAUCUCUGAACUUGUUUAAAAUGAUCUCACUAAAGUAUUAAGGUGGACCAGUUGGAAAUAGGCAUGUUACAGAUCACAUUACAUGUAAUUUUCAUGCUACACAUCCAUGCUUGAUCCAUGUUAUUCGGUUAUAUUGAUAUACGUGACCAUUGAUGGGUUUAGCUACGUGAAAGUAGCGAAAGCCGCUUUGAUCCUAUGUUGAUAUGAUUGAUGGACGGGAUUGUUUGGGGAUACAUUCGGUAAUGAUAGCAAAAUUCUGAGUACUCAUAAGGUUAUAUUCAAUGCACAAUUAUAAGGUGACACAUAUAGCCCAAGUGGGAGAUUGUAAUGAUUUUUUAAAUCAAUAUAUGGGCUUAUAUGUGUGAAUAAUUGUGUGUUAAAUUAUAGGCUAUCGAAUUCGAUUGAGCCCAAUUAAAGUGAUCUAAUAAGGCUUUGGUUUUGAGCUUUAAUGUAUCCAAUUAAAAUAUGGGUUUACAUAUAUGUAGAGGCCGGGUCCAAGUCCUAAUUCUAUGAUGGGCCGAAUUAGGUCAAAGGGCAUCCCUAUAUAAAUAGGUUAUGGUCCCCAAAUCACACGCACGUAUUAUUCAUUCUCUAUUGCAUCCCAUCACAGAGAGGAAAAGGAAACUGCGUAUAGAUUUGGAAGACUAUACCGCGAAAUUCAUAUUGCAUUAACUAUGUCUGAUUCAGGUACGCUUCCGCUUUAAUUCUUGUAUUUCUUAAUGAUUUAAUAUGAAAGAUUUGUAAUUUAAAGCAUUAAAUUAUCCAAUAACUUAGGCUUCAAAAACUUCACACAUUCCCUAAGCUCAUUGUUGUUUGAAUGCUCGCUAUAGGGAACAAGAUGAAUCUCAAAUGAAUCCAUCACUCUCACCACGAACUUAUUCUGCUUCACUUCAUAAGUCCACCUGGU
rnacentral:lncRNA from 1 species